rnacentral:rRNA from 1 species
AUUGAACGCUGGCGGCAGGCCUAACACAUGCAAGUCGAGCGAGCGGCGGACGGGGGAGUAAUGUCUGGGGAACUGCCUGAUGGAGGGGGAUAACUACUGGAAACGGUAGCUAAUACAGAAUACGCUCAGAUGUGUCCAGAUGGGAUUAGCUAGUAGGUGGGGUAACGGCUCACCUAGGAGACGAUCCCUAGCUGGUCUGAUAGGAUGACCAGCCACACCGGAACGGAGCCUCGGUCCAUACGCCUACGGGCGGGAGCAGUGGGGAAUAUUGCACGAUGGGCGCAAGCCUGAUGCAGCCAUGCCGCGUGUAUGAAGAAGGCUUUCGGGUUGUAAAGUACUUUCAGCGGGGAGGCGUUACCCGCAGAAGAAGCACCGGCUAACUCCGUGCCAGCAGCCGCGGUAAUAC